rnacentral:rRNA from 1 species
UCAGGCCUAACACAUGCAAGUCGAGCGGCAGCGGGAAAGUAGCUUGCUACUUUUGCCGGCGAGCGGCGGACGGGUGAGUAAUGCCUGGGGAUCUGCCCAGUCGAGGGGGAUAACUACUGGAAACGGUAGCUAAUACCGCAUACGCCCUACGGGGGAAAGCAGGGGACCUUCGGGCCUUGCGCGAUUGGAUGAACCCAGGUGGGAUUAGCUAGUUGGUGAGGUAAUGGCUCACCAAGGCGACGAUCCCUAGCUGGUCUGAGAGGAUGAUCAGCCACACUGGAACUGAGACACGGUCCAGACUCCUACGGGAGGCAGCAGUGGGGAAUAUUGCACAAUGGGGGAAACCCUGAUGCAAAAGUGCCGCGUGUGUGAAGAAGGCCUUCGGGUU